AACGAACGCUGGCGGCAGGCUUAACACAUGCAAGUCGAACGCCCCUUUCGGGGGGAGUGGCAGACGGGUGAGUAACGCGUGGGAACGUGCCCUUCAGUUCGGGAUAACCCAGGGAAACUUGGGCUAAUACCGGAUACGUGCGAGAGCAGAAAGAUUUAUCGCUGAAGGAUCGGCCCGCGUCUGAUUAGCUGGUUGGUGAGGUAAUGGCUCACCAAGGCGACGAUCAGUAGCUGGUCUGGGAGGAUGAUCAGCCACAUUGGGACUGAGACACGGCCCAAACUCCUACGGGAGGCAGCAGGGGGGAAUAUUGGAAAAUGGGCGCAAGCCUGAUCCAGCCAUGCCGCGUGAGUGAUGAAGGCCUUAGGGUUGUAAAGCUCUUUCGUCCGGGACGAUAAUGACGGUACCGGAAGAAGAAGCCCCGGCUAACUUCGUGCCAGCCGCCGCAGUAAAAC
rnacentral:rRNA from 1 species